rnacentral:rRNA from 1 species
UUACCUACGGGGGGCAGCAGUGAGGAAUAUUGGUCAAUGGGCGGGAGCCUGAACCAGCCAAGUCGCGUGAGGGACGACGGUCCUAUGGAUUGUAAACCUCUUUUGUCGGGGAACAAAGGCGCCCACGGGUGGGCGGAUGAGUGUACCCGAAGAAAAAGCAUCGGCUAACUCCGUGCCAGCAGCCGCGGUAAUACGGAGGAUGCGAGCGUUAUCCGGAUUUAUUGGGUUUAAAGGGUGCGUAGGCGGGCUUUUAAGUCAGCGGUAAAAAUUCGGGGCUCAACCCCGUCCGGCCGUUGAAACUGGGG